UUCCGUUCCGUUCCGUCCGUCUCCCGUUCCGUGUUUUAGCAACACCCAUGUUAGAAAGUUUUUUAUGCAAAUAUUAACUUUUUAUACCCCUCUUCAAAGAAGAGGGGAAUAUUGCUUUGCACCAGUUGGUCGGUCGGUCGGUAGACUAGAUGUUGUCUGCUCAAUAUCUUGAGAACCUUUGACUUCAUGGUAAUGAUAUCUUAUAUGUGGGUUGGUUAUAGGUAGAAAAGAACCCUUAUUGAUUUUCAGGUCAAAGGUCAGGGUCAAUCUACUCUGGACAUAGGAAGACGCUGUCCGUUCAAUAUUUUGAGAACCCUUUUCUUGACAGAUAUCAAACUUGGUACACUGGUACAUCCUAAGGAAUACACCGAUUCACUGCAGUUCGUGACCUUAUAUUUUGACCAAUGAAAUGCGCUGAAAAAAUAAGCCCCGCCCACCAACUCGAGCCUCGGACAAACAUCGGACAUCCGCCAUUGUGUUGUAUAGUAAACACAGAAAGUUAUCGACCGAUCAUGUGUUAAUAAUACACUGUGUAUGCAUCUUUUUGUAUGAGGAAUGAUUAAACAUUUUUCUCUGGAAUCUUUAAAUCACACAGUAGGUAUCCAGACUAACAUAAUGGAGCCAAAUUCACACCAUUUCCAUCAACGAAAGACAGACUUGCAGAAGUGUACAUGCUGUUUAUUGCCUUAUAUCACAGGCCUCAAAGUCAGCUAAAUGUCCACAAAAUAACGAAAUACGUAUCUAUGAACUCGCAAUAUGAUGAGCCAAUAGCUGGAUACCAAGUCCCGUGUGAUGUUAAAUGUAAAUAGGAGGAAAUGCACCUGUCAGGAUACAUAUGGAGAUUGGAUAGAACAAUAAACCAAUUCAAGUGCUUUAAACUUUUCAGUAGAAAAAUUACAGACACUACAUAGUUUAAAAAUGUUGACUCAUAAUCUUAAAUAUUAAUGUAUAUUUUAUCAGAAAUUUAGA